CAUGGGCCGGUGGCUGAGCCUCGGCUCCACGUGGAGAUGUUGGGAGAAGGCAGCACACAUUGAGGAGAAGCAAGGAGCACCACUCCUGAUGGUCCCCUCCAAAGCUCCACGAAACUUGUUAGCAAUCUUAGAUUAAAUUCAGAAAGUUUCUGGAUCACGACGAGAAGCUGUGUCCGGCACGAAGGUCCUGCGAACAGGCUCAAUCACAAGCUCUGCCAAGACGGGAGGUGACAGAGGCCCCAGAAAGCCAGUCCCCGACAACGCCAAUACUGCACGUUUAUCAGCUGCGGCAAGAGCUGGCUGGAGGCGGUGGCAGUACCUCAACGCUCUUGCCUCGUCUUCAAGAUUCUUCUGUUUGAUGUUGCGUCCUCACUGUUUCUCUCUUGAGGAGCUGUAGUGUGGCUCACAACCAUGCAAUGACUCUCCAGAUUCAAAGACCACAUCUCGCCCUCUCUAAAGCCCCCAGGUGCUCAGCACAGCACCGUGUGCAGAAAGGGGUUGAUGAGCAUUUGCUGAGCCGGGUGAUAAUGCCAUGGGCAUCGUUUCCCCUGCCCUCAGUCUCCAGCCUGCAGACGCCUGAAUGGAUUCUGGAGAGGUGUGUGUUGGACUCUGAAGGUCCUCUGAGCCCGUCCAGGAUAAAGAUGCUCUCUCCCAGGCGUCUGCUCAGCAGCCGGCUAUUGGCAGGACAUUCUGCACCAGGUAUCUUCAAGCUGCUUCCGGCUGGAUUUAGGGCAUGAUAGAAACAUCAGAACAACUGUAGUUCUGCCACGGGGUCCCACAUCUGCUCAUCCGGGGACAGCCACGCCGUCCCCACCCAGGAAGCCGCAGCAGGUUUCAGCACCCUGGAGAGGGUCAGACCCCAUGGGCUGGUCGAGCUCCUCAGUGUUAAGGGAGCAGCUCAGGAAGGUCCCGCCCAGGAUGAUAAGCGGAACAGGAAUGAAGUCAGCAGGUGGGCGGGAGGAACUUGACUCAGAGCAGUGGGAGGGCAGGAAGCGUGCUGGGGAGGAGCCCUUGAGGGGCCACCACCUGGGGAAGCCCCUGCUGUCCCAGGGACAAGGGAAGUCUCCUCCUUGAUUCCCCAGAAGGACAGCGUGGCUGCGGUCAAAUCCAUCCACGGGGCAGAUUUUCCCCAUGGCCCUGUCCCUGACCUUAGUGGCCCUCCCACAGGCAUGCCCUGCAGGGCUCAGGACACUGGCCCUCGAUGGGCCCUGAGACAGUGCCACGUGUGCGUGCACUGAUGAAGGUCAGGCUCUUUAUUGGAGGGAGGAGGAGCAGAAAGAGGAGAAGGAAACAUUAACUCCUAAAUCACAAGGCAGAAAGGAUUCCUUAAACAAAUCAGCCAAAUCUGUCUCCUAGGCGGUUCCAGACCUGUCUCCUCCCCUCCCCGUUUCUUAGGGUGCGGCAGGAACAUUAACCGGGCUCCACUGCACAUCCUCCUGGCCCUGGCCCUGCGCCCUUGGCCCCCGCACAUCUCAUGGCUGGCACCUCCGUGCGGGCUCUCAUUUCAUGUUUCACCUUCAAAUCAUCCUCUGUGAACACGUGUGUGCAUGCA